rnacentral:rRNA from 1 species
GACGAACGCUGGCGGCGUGCUUAACACAUGCAAGUCGAACGGUAAGGCCCUUCGGGGGUACACGAGUGGCGAACGGGUGAGUACCAAGCGGGUGAUCUGCCCUGCACUUCGGGAUAAGCCUGGGCAACUGGGUCUAAUACAGGAUAGGACCCUGGGAUGCACGUCCUGGCGUGGAUAGCUUUUGCGGGGUGGGAUGGGCCCGCGGCCUAUCAGCUUGUUGGUGGGGUGAUGGCCUACCAAGGCGACGACGGGUGGCCGGCCUGAGCGGGUGACCGGUCACACUGGGACUGAGAUACGGCCCAGACUCCUACGGGAGGCAGCAGUGGGGAAUAUUGCACAAUGGGCGCAAGCCUGAUGCAGCGACGCCGCGUGAGGGAUGACGGCCUUCGGGUUGUAAACCUCUUUCAGCACCGACGAAGCGCAAGUGACGGUAGGUGCAGAGGAAGGACCGGCCAACUACGUGCCAGCAGCCGCAGUAA